CGUCCUUGGCUCCACCAACCUCCGUCCCUCCUCAUUACGUCAAUCACUGAGCCUUCCUCAGGUUAUCCAAAACCUUAAUAACUAGCUCAUAAGAUUCAUCUUCAGCUAUGUCCUCCUUCUCUUGGAUCCUUCUCCUGGUAUCCUUAGGGAUAAACCAUCAAAACUCGGCCCCAGAGUUCCUUGAGCUCAAUGUUACCAAUGUUCUCCACUCCGUUCCAGCCAUCCACAGCCAUGCUCCAGGGUCUAGACAGCAUCGCCAACAGAGGAUCACAAGAUCUCACGAUGCCCUCUUCUUCUGGACCACUCUCGAAUACAGAAUGGCUGUUCAACUUCAAACAAGUUUCAUUAAAUACUGAAAUAUUGAGAAUUCCGCCAUCUUCUAAGAGAUCAUCUUCUAGAAGACAAGAGAGCAUAUAAAAAGGUCAAAUCACCAAGGAGACAAAUCAUGGCUGAAUGUAAGUGCAGCUGGGACACUUUCAAGGGCCGGUAGGUGUUUAGUAUGAAGAGCACAGCAUUUACAUUGACAUUGACAUUUGGUUUGCAGACUUAGACUCAAGCGCUAGUUCCACGGUUUGUUUGAAUGUUUGUGAGUGUUUUCAAUUGCUCUCCACCUUAUCCUUCGAGACAGAGUCUCGCACUGAAUCUGGAGCCUCCCCGAUUCUGCUAGACUAUCUGGGCAGCGCCCAGGAUCCUCCUGUCUUCCCAGUGCUAGGAAUGAUUACAGGUGUGUUCCACGUCUCCUGGGUGUGUUCCGUGGGUUCUAGGGAUCAAACUCAGGUCCUCACGCUUACACAAUAAAGGAUUUAACAACUGA